AUUGAACGCUGGCGGCAGGCCUAACACAUGCAAGUCGAACGAGUGGCGGACGGGUGAGUAAUGUAUGGGAAACUGCCUGAUGGCGGGGGAUAACUACUGGAAACGGUAGCUACUACCGCAUACCAUCAGAUGUGCCCAGAUGGGCUUAGCUAGUAGGUGGGGUAACGGCUCACCUAGGCGACGAUCCCUAGCUGGUCUGAGAGGAUGACCAGCCACACUGGAACUGAGACACGGUCCAGAGUCCUACGGGAGGCAGCAGUGGGGAAUAUUGCACAAUGGGCGCAAGCCUGAUGCAGCCAUGCCGAGUGUAUGAAGAAGGCCUUCGGGUUGUAAAGUACUUUCAGCGGGGAGGCGUUACCAGCAGAAGAAGCACCGGCUAACUCCGUGCCAGCAGCCGCGGUAAUAC
rnacentral:rRNA from 1 species